GGGUUGUGAGGUUAAGCGACUAAGCGUACACGGUGGAUGCCCUGGCAGUCAGAGGCGAUGAAGGACGUGCUAAUCUGCGAAAAGCGUCGGUAAGGUGAUAUGAACCGUUACAGCCGGCGAUGUCCGAAUGGGGAAACCCAGUGCAAUUCGUUGCACUAUCGUUAACUGAAUACAUAGGUUAACGAGGCGAACCGGGGGAACUGAAACAUCUAAGUACCCCGAGGAAAAGAAAUCAACCGAGAUUCCCCCAGUAGCGGCGAGCGAACGGGGAGCAGCCCGGAGUCUGAAUCAGCUUGUGUGUUAGUGGAAGCGUCUGGAAAGUCGCAGGGUACAGGGUGAUACUCCCGUACACUAAAACACACAGGUUGUGAACUCGAAGAGUAGGGCGGGACACGUGGUAUCCUGUCUGAAUAUGGGGGGACCAUCCUCCAAGGCUAAAUACUCCUGACUGACCGAUAGUGAACCAGUACCGUGAGGGAAAGGCGAAAAGAACCCCGGCGAGGGGAGUGAAAAAGAACCUGAAACCGUGUACGUACAAGCAGUAGGAGCCCACUAGUUGGGUGACUGCGUACCUUUUGUAUAAUGGGUCAGCGACUUAUAUUCUGUAGCAAGGUUAACCGUAUAGGGGAGCCGCAGGGAAACCGAGUCUUAACUGGGCGUUAAGUUGCAGGGUAUAGACCCGAAACCCGGUGAUCUAGCCAUGGGCAGGUUGAAGGUUGGGUAACACUAACUGGAGGACCGAACCGACUAAUGUUGAAAAAUUAGCGGAUGACUUGUGGCUGGGGGUGAAAGGCCAAUCAAACCGGGAGAUAGCUGGUUCUCCCCGAAAGCUAUUUAGGUAGCGCCUCGUGAACUCAUCUUCGGGGGUAGAGCACUGUUUCGGCUAGGGGGUCAUCCCGACUUACCAACCCGAUGCAAACUACGAAUACCGAAGAAUGUUAUCACGGGAGACACACGGCGGGUGCUAACGUCCGUCGUGAAGAGGGAAACAACCCAGACCGCCAGCUAAGGUCCCAAAGUCAUGGUUAAGUGGGAAACGAUGUGGGAAGGCCCAGACAGCCAGGAUGUUGGCUUAGAAGCAGCCAUCAUUUAAAGAAAGCGUAAUAGCUCACUGGUCGAGUCGGCCUGCGCGGAAGAUGUAACGGGGCUAAACCAUGCACCGAAGCUGCGGCAGCGACACUAUGUGUUGUUGGGUAGGGGAGCGUUCUGUAAGCCGUUGAAGGUGGCCUGUGAGGGUUGCUGGAGGUAUCAGAAGUGCGAAUGCUGACAUAAGUAACGAUAAUGCGGGUGAAAAACCCGCACGCCGGAAGACCAAGGGUUCCUGUCCAACGUUAAUCGGGGCAGGGUGAGUCGACCCCUAAGGCGAGGCCGAAAGGCGUAGUCGAUGGGAAACAGGUUAAUAUUCCUGUACUCGGUGUUACUGCGAAGGGGGGACGGAGAAGGCUAUGUUGGCCGGGCGACGGUUGUCCCGGUUUAAGCAUGUAGGCGGAUGUUCCAGGUAAAUCCGGAACGUCACUAACGCUGAGGUGUGAUGACGAGGCACUACGGUGCUGAAGUGACAAAUGCCCUGCUUCCAGGAAAAGCCUCUAAGCAUCAGGUAACAUCAAAUCGUACCCCAAACCGACACAGGUGGUCAGGUAGAGAAUACCAAGGCGCUUGAGAGAACUCGGGUGAAGGAACUAGGCAAAAUGGUGCCGUAACUUCGGGAGAAGGCACGCUGAUGGUAGGUGAAGCGACUUGCUCGUGGAGCUGAAAUCAGUCGAAGAUACCAGCUGGCUGCAACUGUUUAUUAAAAACACAGCACUGUGCAAACACGAAAGUGGACGUAUACGGUGUGACGCCUGCCCGGUGCCGGAAGGUUAAUUGAUGGGGUUAUCCGUAAGGAGAAGCUCUUGAUCGAAGCCCCGGUAAACGGCGGCCGUAACUAUAACGGUCCUAAGGUAGCGAAAUUCCUUGUCGGGUAAGUUCCGACCUGCACGAAUGGCGUAAUGAUGGCCAGGCUGUCUCCACCCGAGACUCAGUGAAAUUGAACUCGCUGUGAAGAUGCAGUGUACCCGCGGCAAGACGGAAAGACCCCGUGAACCUUUACUAUAGCUUGACACUGAACACUGGUCCUUGAUGUGUAGGAUAGGUGGGAGGCUUUGAAGUGUGGACGCCAGUCUGCAUGGAGCCAUCCUUGAAAUACCACCCUUUAAUGGCUGGUGUUCUAACGUGGGCCCCUGAUCGGGGUUGCGGACAGUGUCUGGUGGGUAGUUUGACUGGGGCGGUCUCCUCCUAAAGAGUAACGGAGGAGCACGAAGGUCAGCUAAUCCUGGUCGGACAUCAGGAGGUUAGUGCAAUGGCAUAAGCUGGCUUGACUGCGAGCGUGACGGCGCGAGCAGGUGCGAAAGCAGGUCAUAGUGAUCCGGUGGUUCUGAAUGGAAGGGCCAUCGCUCAACGGAUAAAAGGUACUCCGGGGAUAACAGGCUGAUACCGCCCAAGAGUUCAUAUCGACGGCGGUGUUUGGCACCUCGAUGUCGGCUCAUCACAUCCUGGGGCUGAAGUAGGUCCCAAGGGUAUGGCUGUUCGCCAUUUAAAGUGGUACGCGAGCUGGGUUUAGAACGUCGUGAGACAGUUCGGUCCCUAUCUGCCGUGGGCGCUGGAGAAUUGAGGGGGGCUGCUCCUAGUACGAGAGGACCGGAGUGGACGCAUCACUGGUGUUCGGGUUGUCAUGCCAAUGGCAUUGCCCGGUAGCUAAAUGCGGAAGAGAUAAGUGCUGAAAGCAUCUAAGCACGAAACUUGCCCCGAGAUGAGUUCUCCCUGACUCCUUGAGAGUCCUGAAGGAACGUUGAAGACGACGACGUUGAUAGGCCGGGUGUGUAAGCGCAGCGAUGCGUUGAGCUAACCGGUACUAAUGAACCGUGAGGCUUAACCUUACAACGCCGAAG
rnacentral:rRNA from 1 species